rnacentral:rRNA from 1 species
CCGCGAGCGGUCAUUGGAAACUGGGAGACUUGAGUACAGAAGAGGAGAGUGGAAUUCCACGUGUAGCGGUGAAAUGCGUAGAGAUGUGGAGGAACACCAGUGGCGAAGGCGACUCUCUGGUCUGUUACUGACGCUGAGGCGCGAAAGCGUGGGUAGCGAACAGGAUUAGAUACCCCUGGUAGUCCACGCCGCAAACGUUGAGUGCUAGGUGUUAGGGGGUUUCCGCCCCUUUGUGCUGAAGUUAACGCAUUAAGCACUCCGCCUGGGGAGUACGGCCGCAAGGCUGAAACUCAAAAGAAUUGACGGGGGCCCGCACAAGCGGUGGAGCAUGUGGUUUAAUUCGAAGCAACGCGAAGAACCUUACCAGGUCUUGACAGCGUCUGACAGCGGCAGAGAUGCCGUGUUCCCUUCGGGGACAGAGUGACAGGUGGUGCAUGGUUGUCGUCAGCUCGUGUCGUGAGAUGUUGGGUUAAGUCCCGUAACGAGCGCAACCCUUAAUCUUAGUUGCCAGCAUUAAGUUGGGCACUCUAAGGUGACUGCCGGUGACAAACCGGAGGAAGGCGGGGAUGACGUCAAAUCAUCAUGCCCCUUAUGACCUGGGCUACACACGUGCUACAAUGGAUGGAACAAAGGGACGCGAAGCGGCGACGUGAUAGCCAAUCCCACAAAACCAUUCCCAGUUCGGAUUGCAGGCUGCAACUCGCCUGUAUGAAGCCGGAAUCGCUAGUAAUCGCGGAUCAGAAUGCCGCGGUGAAUACGUUCCCGG